UGGGGAAUAUUGCACAAUGGGCGCAAGCCUGAUGCAGCCAUGCCGCGUGUAUGAAGAAGGCCUUCGGGUUGUAAAGUACUUUCAGCGGGGAGGAAGGCGAUAAGGUUAAUAACCUUGUCGAUUGACGUUACCCGCAGAAGAAGCACCGGCUAACUCCGUGCCAGCAGCCGCGGUAAUACGGAGGGUGCAAGCGUUAAUCGGAAUUACUGGGCGUAAAGCGCACGCAGGCGGUCUGUCAAGUCGGAUGUGAAAUCCCCGGGCUCAACCUGGGAACUGCAUUCGAAACUGGCAGGCUAGAGUCUUGUAGAGGGGGGUAGAAUUCCAGGUG
rnacentral:rRNA from 1 species